UGGGGAAUAUCGGUUAUGGGGGCAACCCUGAUCCAGCAAUGCCGCGUGUGUGAAGAAGGUCUUCGGAUUGUAAAGCACUUUCGACGGGGACGAUGAUGACGGUACCCGCAGGAGAAGCCCCGGCUAACUUCGUGCCAGCAGCCGCGGUAAUACGUAGGUG
rnacentral:rRNA from 1 species